rnacentral:rRNA from 1 species
UACGAAGGAUCCAAGCGUUGUCCGGAUUUACUGGGUUUAAAGGGAGCGUAGGCGGUCCUAUAAGUCAGUGGUGAAAGCCUUCAGCUUAACUGAAGAAUUGCCAUUGAAACUGUAGGACUCGAGUAUGGUUGAGGUCACUGGAAUAUAACAUGUAGCGGUGAAAUGCUUAGAUAUGUUAUAGAACACCAAUUGCGAAGGCAGGUGACUAAGCCAUAACUGACGCUGAGGCUCGAAAGCGUGGGGAGCAAACAGGAUUAGAUACCCUGGUAGUCCACGCCCUAAACGUUGAAUACUCGGUCUUGGCGAUAUACAGUCAGGGCCCAAGCGAAAGCGUUAAGUAUUCCACCUGGGAAGUACGUUCGCAAGAAUGAA